GCAUAUGCUUCAGCCGUUGUCUUGGGUCUGCGAAGUCGCGGUCUGCAUUCUUUUCUCCCCACUAGACCCCCCUGCCUGCGGAGUAUAGGAGAUCCUAAUUUCGUUCUUUCUUGCUGAUAUUUGAUUUCGUCUGCCUAUAUCAACCAAAUUGCUUCACACGGAUUGAAAAUGGUGUCUUUUGCUAGUUGCUAAGCUGACGAAUCAUAUCUCUAAAAUUUUCCCUUCUAAUUUAAUUUUUUUUUCGGGCAUUGGUUUUGCUCGAGAUUGGCAUAAUCUUCCUAGACCGUGAGCUACCCUUCUUGGAGGUCCCGUCGAAUGAUUUCAUCUAAAGGGAGUACAUUUUGGGGAUGCAUUUUCAUAUCCCUUGGCUCUUUAUCCUUUGCUGGGUACUUCUUUGCUGCAAUUAUUUCCAAGCUUCUCCCGCCUUCAAAUAUAGCGAUAAUAUCUGCCUUGCAAAAUGACUGGUAUCACUGCUUCUUGGUGCCAUUGACUCUGCCUGUAGUAGUUGUUACGGUAUACUUCCAUUGGCUGAGCAUGAAGAUGUUUAAGCAUGCUUAACUUCUAACGUUCAUCUUCAGUUCAUCGUUUGGAAGCAUACUUAUUGAAUGUUGCCUCUUCAUUUAUGUCAGUUCAUUGGGGGCAGUCUGCCUUGCGCACGUUCUUCAUUGGCUUGUUGAUUGUAUAGACUUAUAAUUAAAUGGUGGUUAUUUCACCUUGGAAGUUGGAAGCCUAACCACAACCUCUCUCAGGCUUUUGUCA